rnacentral:rRNA from 1 species
GACGAACGCUGGCGGCGUGCUUAACACAUGCAAGUCGAACGGAAAGGCCCUGCUUGCAGGGUACUCGAGUGGCGAACGGGUGAGUAACACGUGGGUGAUCUGCCCUGCACUUCGGGAUAAGCCUGGGAAACUGGGUCUAAUACCGGAUAGGAGCCAUUUUUAGUGUGAUGGUUGGAAAGUUUUUUCGGUGUAGGAUGAGCUCGCGGCCUAUCAGCUUGUUGGUGGGGUAAUGGCCUACCAAGGCGGCGACGGGUAGCCGGCCUGAGAGGGUGGACGGCCACAUUGGGACUGAGAUACGGCCCAGACUCCUACGGGAGGAAGCAGUGGGGAAUAUUGCACAAUGGGCGCAAGCCUGAUGCAGCGACGCCGCGUGGGGGAUGACGGCCUUCGGGUUGUAAACUCCUUUCGCUAGGGACGAAGCUUUUUGUGACGGUACCUAGAUAAGAAGCACCGGCUAACUACGUG